rfam:Ovis aries breed Texel chromosome 3, whole genome shotgun sequence.
UCCCUAAUAGCUCAGUCGGUAAAGAAUCUGCCUGCAAUGCAGGAGACCCUGGUUCCAUUCCUGGAUCAGGAA